CCGGUUGAUCCUGCCAGAGGUUACUGCUAUCGAGAUUCGACUAAGCCAUGCGAGUUGAAUGUUCUUCGUGAACAUGGCGGACUGCUCAGUAACACGUGGACAACCUACCCUUCGGUCCGGGAUAAUCCUGGGAAACUGGGGAUAAUACCGGAUGGGCCACAUAUGCUGGAAUGCUCUGUGGCCGAAAGCUUUUGCGCCGAAGGAUGGGUCUGCGGCCUAUCAGGGUAGUAGUGGGUGUAACGUACCUACUAGCCUACGACGGGUACGGGUUGUGAGAGCAAGAGCCCGGAGAUGGAUUCUGAGACACGAAUCCAGGCCCUACGGGGUGCAGCAGGCGCGAAAACUUUACAAUGCGGGAAACCGUGAUAAGGGGAUCUCGAGUGCCAGCAUAUAAUGUUGGCUGUCCAGAUGCCUAAAAAGCAUCUGUUAGCAAGGGCCGGGCAAGACCGGUGCCAGCCGCCGCGGUAACACCGGCGGCCCGAGUGGUAACCGCUAUUAUUGGGUCUAAAGGGUCUGUAGCCGGCCAGGUAAGUCCCUUGGGAAAUCUGGCAGCUCAACUGUCAGGCUGCUAGGGGAUACUGUUUGGCUUGGGACCGGGAGAGGUGAGAGGUACCUUGGGGGUAGGGGUGAAAUCUUGUGAUCCUCGGGGGACCACCAGUGGCGAAGGCGUCUCACCAGAACGGGUCCGACGGUAAGGGACGAAAGCUAGGGGCACGAACCGGAUUAGAUACCCGGGUAGUCCUAGCCGUAAACGAUGCUCGCUAGGUGUCAGUCACGGUGCGACCGUGAUUGGUGCCGUA
rnacentral:rRNA from 1 species